AGUGAACGCUGGCGGUAGGCCUAACACAUGCAAGUCGAACGGCAGCACAGUAAGAGCUUGCUCUUACGGGUGGCGAGUGGCGGACGGGUGAGGAAUACAUCGGAAUCUACUUUUUCGUGGGGGAUAACGUAGGGAAACUUACGCUAAUACCGCAUACGACCUACGGGUGAAAGCAGGGGAUCUUCGGACCUUGCGCGAUUGAAUGAGCCGAUGUCGGAUUAGCUAGUUGGCGGGGUAAAGGCCCACCAAGGCGACGAUCCGUAGCUGGUCUGAGAGGAUGAACAGCCACACUGGGACUGGGACACGGUCCAGACUCCGACGGGAGGCAGCGGUGGGGAAUAUUGGAAAAUGGGCGCAAGCCUGAUCCAGCCAUGCCGCGUGGGUGAAGAAGGCCUUCGGGUUGUAAAGCCCUUUUGUUGGGAAAGAAAAGCAGCAGGUUAAUACCCCGCUGUUCUGACGGUACCCAAAGAAUAAGCACCGGCUAACUUCGUG
rnacentral:rRNA from 1 species